AAGCAAAUAGUUAGCGAAAAUUUCUAGAAAUAAUGAAUAUUUUAUUUACGCCAAACUUUGGUAUUUUAAAUGAAUACUUUUAGUGUGGUACCUACAUCAUUUUAAAUUCUUACAUUUUUUAUAAUAGAUCAUCAAAAAGAAAUACAAACAAUUUAGAAGUUAAAAUGUGUGGUAACAAACAGCACAUUUAGUUCAAGCAAAUUAUUUUUUUUUUAAGUAAAGAAUGUGUACCGUUAUUUGCGAAGAGUGUCUUCAAAUUUUUUGCAAAAAUCUUUGCAGUCUUAUAACUUUGUAUGUGUAUUUAUUUCACUUAUAUUUUUUGCGAAACCUACCUAAUAGGUACAAAAAAGACUGCAAUACCUUACAUUUUUAAGGCGUUUAAAAAGCAGGCGGUUUAUUAUUGUUAAAACUGUCAGUUUGACGCGUGCAAUUUUUCAAUUUUAGUUAAAACAGUGAGUUAAUAAAAUGGUGUAUACGCUAGCCGAAAGAAUAGAAAUAAUUUUUCUUUAUGGAGCUCAAGAUCGGUGUGCUCGCAGAACCGCGAGAGCAUUUAAUGAAAGGUAUCAAGAUAAAAACGUGAGCCAUAAAUACGUAUUAGAAUUGAUACGAAAAUUUGAAUAGACGGGAUCGAUUUGCAAUAAGAAAAAAUAUGAAAAUAGAGUUGUCGAUGAAGCAUGCCAAGUUGAAGUACUAGGACAAUUUGCUAUGGAUCCAACUUUGUCUAUACCAAAGGCCGCAAAACUAACAAAUAUUUCCACUGGUUCCGUACAUAAAGUUUAAAAAAAAAUAAGUCCUUUCCUUAUAAAAUUCACAUUCUUCAUGAACUCGGAGAAGAUGAUUUUGAUAGGAGAAUUCAAUUUUGUGAAGUGAUGUGCCAACGAAUUGACGACGAUCCCCGUUUGUUGAAGAACAUUUGCUUCAGUGACGAAUCGACCUUUUUUUUAAAUGGCCUGGUGAACAGACAUAACUGUAGAUAUUGGGAUAAUGAAAAUCCGCAUGUUUUUCGGGAAGGCCAUACCCAAUAUCCCCAAAAAAUUAAUGUUUGGGCAGGAAUUUAUGGAAAUGAAAUAAUUGGGCCAUUUUUUUUGGAAGAAAAUUUGACUGGCGAAAUUUAUUUAAACCUUUUAGAAAAUGCAAUAUACCCUUCCAUCAUCCAAUCUAUGGAAAAUCAAGUAGAUCAACAUGGUGCUAUAUUAUUGAAUGAAUUUUUUUUUUUUUUUUUUGGGUCGGUGGAGAAAUUCUUUAUGAACACUGGUUACGCGUUUUAUUAAAUAUACUAGAUAUUUAAACUAUAAUCAAGGGUUAUAUUCUAUGGAUGUUUCAUAAACAUCUAUUAUAUUUUAUGUAUCUGUUACAUGUAUCUUAUAAAAUAUACAAAUACUUUUUUAAUAUUUCAGAAUAUGAAAAUUUCCCUAUAUAGGUAAAUAUUUUUUCCAUCCAUGAAACAUGUUCUGGAUAUACCAUAUAUACAUCAUUUCCUAGGUAGCAAAAUGACGUCUUGGCGACGUCGUUUUUCGUACAUUUUGGUCUAAAUGAAGAGUGAUUUUGACGUUUUUACGAUCUUAAAAUGACGUGCAAAUAUCACAUCCAAUGGAAAAUUAAAUUCGUUGGACAGGGAAACCUUAAAGGAGGAAGAAGUAACAUGAGGAAACAUUCGGUACAAAAAUACUGAUAACUUUUAAUCUUAAUAAAAGGAAAUGCGCGUCCAUAAAAUAUGCCAUGUUUUCCUAUAAUUUUUUUAAAAUUUAUAAACAAGGUUAGAUCAAGAUGACAUGCUGAAAAUGCUUUGUUUAAAAGUAUACAGGGUGUUUCAGAACUAUGGGAUCAAACUUCUAAGGGUUGUUCAGUGCAACAGCAGAAUCCAUUUGAGUAUAGGAACCCAUGUCCGGAAAUGUGUCACUACGCCACUACGGCCCUAAGACGCGUUUAAAUUUAGAAAAAUAUUAAUAACUGAAAUAGGAUCUGAUGCAUUUAUUUUUACCUUUUGUAUAUGAUACCAUCACAACAAUUGUUCAAAAUGUCUUCCUCCAACCUCAAUACACCGAUUUAAACGCAGCACAUGCUUUCGGCGGACUACACUAAAAAUUUGAUCCUCGUUUUGAAUGAUUUCAAAUGCUGCUAUUAUUCGUCCAAUUAAGUCUAGCUCUGAUUGCACCUCUUCUUCAAAUUCGACCGUUCUUACGAUUCGAGCAACACCAGUAUCAUGCAUCUUGGUCUUAAACAUGCCUGUCUCAGCGAGUCGCCGGUGAACCGCAAUAAACUUUUUGUAUCCAGGAUGCUGUCGUUCGGGAUAACGUUCAUGCUUAGAACAUUGAAAGGCUAGAAUUAGUAAACAACAACUUUGUUUGAGUCCAACAUGUGCACAGGGGCAAGAGGGGUGUUUUGUUUACAAACAUAUUUGCCGAUUCUCUGUUGUCAAGUCGACGCAAAUUUCCAACGGAGGAAAUUUUUAGCUAUAUUUUAACAACCAUUAUAACGUUAAUUUAACUUAUUUGUGUUGUAUUUUAUAGGAAAAUUUAAAAUAAAAAGUAUAAAUACUACAAUUAACCUAUUUUAAGAAUAAAUAUAAUAUCCUUAAGCAAAAAAAAAACAAAAUUACUAACAUUGUUAUCCCUAAAACUGCUUCUAAAAAAUUUGAAGCGACAACAUCGGAGCUUAAGCGUCUGAGCCAUACGCGUAGUGUCAUCUGUCAAACGGCUUUUUGUUUAUUUUCGGGAUUCGUGUAUUUUCUUUAAUUUUCGGUUUCAAAAGGAAAAAGGCCACAUUUUAGUGUUUUUUUAAAUUGCUAGGAUGGGAAAAACUUGUGUCGUUUGUGUCGCAUCAUGAUAAAAAGGUGAUUCAAGCCGAUCUUUUCACAAAUUGCCUAAUAUAUGCCCAAAGGGAACAAUGGAUUUCAUUAAUGGAAAUCAACAAAAUUAAACAGAACAUAUUUGUUUGUUCAGAUCACAUCCUUAGAAGUGAUUUCUUAUAUAAAAAAGAUAAUAUUAUCAGUAGCCAGACUUAGACCAAACAGAUUAAAAAAAUCAGCUCUACCUCAAAGGAUUUCUGAUGCACUGGUUAAAAACACAGCAGCUGAUAAUUCAGUUAAUUUACCAAGUGAUUUACCCUUCAAAGCUGCAGGAAUAGCUUUCCUGAAGAGUGCAAAAACUUCUUUAGCUUCCAAAAUAGUAUAUAGUACAAACAGUGAAGCUGAUAUAGACAAGUAUGGAUAAUUAAAAUAGAUUAAUAUUCUAGAUACACCAAAUUUUGUAUAAUUAUAGAUCUGAUCAUUCAUCAUCAACAAUAACUGCAUCUGAGAUUAAUAGUUCUACAGUAACCGUGGGGUCUUGGUCAACAAUUACUAUUUCUCAUCCAAGCCGUUUUUGUUUAACUGCUACAUAUUCCCUGACUCUGCCAAGGAAAAGGUAAAAAUACACUCAAAAUAGACUACUAGUUUUAUGCCAUGUAUCAUCCUAUUCUAUAUAUCUUAUUUAAAAGUGAUAUAGUAUUUUAUUGUGUUAUAUUUGUUUAAUUAAAUGCAAUUAAUUGGUAAUACUAUAUUUUUAUGUAUAUUAUUCUAGGGUAAAAUCAAAAUGAUAUCCUGAGGACCUAAGCACUGAUGAUUCCACCAUUUCAAAAGCUAAAUCACUUGUUACCAAAUUAUGGAAAAAAAAUAAAGAGCAAAAAAUUAAUAUUCGAAGAUUGCAAUAAACAAAUUUGCCCCAAAGAAAUUGAAUUAGAUGUCUCAAGUCAUUAUUAAAAUACUUAAGAAAUAAUAACGUGAUUUUUGAAA
rnacentral:lncRNA from 1 species